GUACUUGCUUUGGCAGCACGUAUACUAAAAUUGGAAAGAUACAGAGCAGAUCAGCAUGGCCCCUGCACAAGGGUGACAUGCAAAUUCAUGAAGCAUUCCAUAUUUUU
rnacentral:snRNA from 10 species